rnacentral:sRNA from 1 species
GCCAGGUGCAGUGGCGCCCACCUGUAAUCCCAGCUGCUCAAGAGGCUGAGGCAGGAGGAUCAGGAGUUCAAAGCCAGCCUCAACAAUUUACCAAGGCCCUAAGCAACUCAGUGAGACCUUGUCUCAA